rnacentral:misc_RNA from 1 species
AAGUCGUAACAAGGUUUCCGUAGGUGAACCUGCGGAAGGAUCAUUAAUAAAAUGAUGAAUUUUUUGGGGUUUUCCCUGAAAAAUAAUUCACCUUUUGUGCACUGUUAUAAGAUAUACUUUGGUUAGAGCUUUGAUUUCAUUUUUUUGAAAUCAAUUUCUUGCUGACUCUAUCCUGUUAAGGACAGUUGGCUAUGAAGCGGCCUACCAAGGUUUUUUAUCAAACACAUUUAAUUCAUCUGACCUAAAUCAUUAUAAUAAAAUCAUAACUUUCAACAACGGAUCUCUUGGCUCUC